rnacentral:rRNA from 1 species
GGGAGGCAGCAGUGGGGAAUAUUGGACAAUGGGCGAAAGCCUGAUCCAGCAAUGCCGCGUGUGUGAAGAAGGCCUGCGGGUUGUAAAGCACUUUCAGUUGGGAAGAUGAUGACGUUACCWACAGAAGAAGCACCGGCUAACUCCGUGCCAGCAGCCGCGGUAAUACGGAGGGUGCAAGCGUUAAUCGGAAUUACUGGGCGUAAAGCGCGCGUAGGCGGCUAGGUCAGUCAGAUGUGAAAUCCCCGGGCUCAACCUGGGAAUUGCAUUUGAUACUGCCUGACUASAGUGUGGUAGAGGGAA